UAGGGAAUAUUGCUCAAUGGGCAACCCUGAUCCAGCCAUGCCGCGUGUGUGAAGAAGGCCUUCGGGUUGUAAAGCACUUUCGGCCGGAACGAAAUCGCGCGGGCUAACACUCCGCGUGGAUGACGGUACCGGAAGAAGAAGCACCGGCUAACUACGUGCCAGCAGCCGCGGUAAUACGUAGGGUGCGAGCGUUAAUCGGAAUUACUGGGCGUAAAGUGUGCGCAGGUGGCCGCGCAAGUCGAGUGUGAAAGCCCCGGGCUUAACUUGGGAAUUGCGCUCGAAACUACGUGGCUAGAGUGUGGCAGAGGAAGGUGGAAUUCCACGUGUAGCGGUGAAAUGCGUAGAGAUGUGGAGGAACACCGAUGGCGAAGGCAGCCUUCUGGGCCAACACUGACGCUCAUGCACGAAAGCGUGGGGAGCAAACAGGAUUAGAUACCCUGGUAGUCCACGCCCUAAACGAUGAUGACUAGUUGUUGGGGGAGUUAAAUCCCUUAGUAACGCAGCUAACGCGUGAAGUCAUCCGCCUGGGGAGUACGGUCGCAAGAUUAA
rnacentral:rRNA from 1 species